rnacentral:lncRNA from 1 species
CGCAAGUUAGAUGCUUCUGGCAGCAAUACAAAUCUAGCACCACCCCGGGAGGGAGUGUAUUUGCUUCUUCACUCAUUUUUGUCAGGAUAGAGGAAUGCUGGACAUCCAGAGACAAGGGAGGCUGCAGCUCACUGCUCCCCAGUCCCACACCUUGGGCCUCCCUUUGGAACACACAGAUGUCAGAAACUGAGCUGGAAAAGAUAAAAGUAAGAACAGCUGAGCAUUUAGAAAAUGAUAAAAAUAACAUUUCUUGGUUGAAAGAAGAUACGCAACUCACGAAUGCAAAGCAUGCAGAUGAGAAACCCAUUAAUGCUAUUGUUAUAAAUUCAGUAUCUGACUUCAAUAUCACAGAUGGACCAGCCAAGGAAAACCCCAAUGAGAAAAAACUGUCAGAAUCCAGCACAUCACUGUCCUCCCUUGAAGAAUGCCAAACAACAUUUUCUUACCUCCAAACUGAUACUUCAGUUCAUCACAGAGACACUGAUGAGGAGUGUGCCUCCCUUAUCCUCGCCUGUCUGUUUUGCCAGUUUUGGGACUGUCUCCUGAUGCUCCCCGGCACCUGCGAAACGGUGUGUACCAAAAUGUGCUGCCCCUCUCGCCGGUAUCACCACACCUCGGAUGAAAACCACUCUCGGAAUGAUUGCAGCUGCAAUUGUGACAUGGACUGCAGCCUUUUUGAAUCUUGCCAUGAGACCAGCGAGUGUCUGGAACUGGCCAUGGAGAUUUCAGAAAUCUGUUACCGCUAGCACAGUGAAGUAACCACAUUCCGGCAGUCCUU